rnacentral:rRNA from 1 species
GACGAACCGUCCUAACGUUGUUCGGAAUCACUGGGCUUAAAGGGCGCGUAGGCGGCCCUGUCAGUCGGGGGUGAAAUCCCACGGCCCAACCGUGGAAGUGCCUCCGAUACUGCAGGGCUCGAGGGGGGUAGGGGCAGCGGGAACUUCCGGUGGAGCGGUGAAAUGCGUUGAUAUCGGAAGGAACGCCGGCGGCGAAAGCGCGCUGCUGGACCCUCUCUGACGCUGAGGCGCGAAAGCCAGGGGAGCAAACGGG